AUUGAACGCUGGCGGCAUGCCUUACACAUGCAAGUCGAACGGCAGCACGGAGCUUGCUCUGGUGGCGAGUGGCGAACGGGUGAGUAAUAUAUCGGAACGUACCCAAGAGUGGGGGAUAACGUAGCGAAAGUUACGCUAAUACCGCAUACGAUCUAAGGAUGAAAGCAGGGGAUCUUCGGACCUUGUGCUCCUGGAGCGGCCGAUAUCUGAUUAGCUAGUUGGUGAGGUAAAGGCUCACCAAGGCAUCGAUCAGUAGCUGGUCUGAGAGGACGACCAGCCACAUUGGAACUGAGACACGGUCCAGACUCCUACGGGAGGCAGCAGUGGGGAAUUUUGGACAAUGGGGGCAACCCUGAUCCAGCAAUGCCGCGUGAGUGAAGAAGG
rnacentral:rRNA from 1 species